GCGGCAGGCUUAACACAUGCAAGUCGAACGAGAAAGUAUGCGCUUGCGUAUACGAGUAGAGUGGCGCACGGGUGAGUAACACGUAAACAAUCUAUCCUUUGGUUGGGGAUAACUACUGGAAACGGUAGCUAAUACCCGAUAAGUCUGAGAGGUCUGCGGAUUUUUCAGAGAAAGGCGAGACACGCCGGAGGGUGAGUUUGCGUCCCAUCAGCUAGAUGGUAGGGUAAGGGCCUACCAUGGCGAUGACGGGUAGCUGGUUUGAGAGGAUGAUCAGCCACACUGGGACUGAGACACGGCCCAGACUCCUACGGGAGGCAGCAGUGGGGAAUAUUGGACAAUGGGGGCAACCCUGAUCCAGCCAUGCCGCGUGAAGGAAGAAGGUUUUCGGAUCGCAAACUUCUGUUGGGAGGGAAGAAAGACCGUUUUAUAGACGGUGAUGACGGUACCUCCUUAGCAAGCACCGGCUAACUCCGUGCCAGCAGCCGCGGUAAUACGGAGGGUGCGAACGUUGCUCGGAAUCACUGGGCUUAAAGGGCUCGUAGGCGGUUAUGUAAGUUAGGUGUGAAAUCCCCGGGCUUAACCCGGGACGUGCACUUAAAACUGUGUAACUGGAGUACAGGAGAGGAUAGCGGAAUUCCCGGUGUAGAGGUGAAAUUCGUAGAUAUCGGGAAGAACACCAGAGGCGAAGGCGGCUAUCUGGACUGUAACUGACGCUGAUGAGCGAAAGCGUGGGUAGCGAACAGGAUUAGAUACCCUGGUAGUCCACGCUGUAAACGAUGAGUGCUAGACGUCGGGUGUAUUAACACAUUCGGUGUCGCAGUUAACGCGCUAAGCACUCCGCCUGGGGAGUACGUCCGCAAGGCUAAUACUCAAAGGAAUUGACGGGUGCCCGCACAAGCGGUGGAGCAUGUGGUUUAAUUCGAUGCAACGCGAAGAACCUUACCUGGGUUGGAACCACAUGGAAUUCAUCAGAGAAGGUGAAGUGCCUUAUUUUAAGGAGCCGGGUGUUCAGGUGCUGCAUGGCUGUCGUCAGCUCGUGUCGUGAGAUGUUGGGUUAAGUCCCGCAACGAGCGCAACCCUUGUUGCUAGUUACUAACAGGUAAAGCUGAGGACUCUAGCGAGACUGCCGGUGGUAACCGGAGGAAGGUGGG
rnacentral:rRNA from 1 species